ACGCACGCUGGCGGCGUGCUUCACCCAUGCAAGUCGAACGGAAAGGCCUGCUUUCCCUUGUGGAUUGCGGGUACUCGAGUGGCGAACGGGUGAGUAACACGUGAGUGAUCUGCCCCCAACUUGGGUAUAAGCCUGGGAAACUGGGUCUAAUUCCCGAUAGGACUGCAGGGUAGUGCCUGUGGUGGAAAACGAUUUUCUAGUGGUUGGGGAUGAGCUCGCGGCCUAUCAGCUUGUUGGUGGGGUAAUGGCCUACCAAGGCGGCGACGGGUAGCCGGCCUGAGAGGGUGGACGGCCACAUUGGGACUGAGAUACGGCCCAGACUCCUACGGGAGGCAGCAGUGGGGAAUAUUGCACAAUGGGCGGAAGCCUGAUGCAGCGACGCCGCGUGGGGGAUGACGGCCUUCGGGUUGUAAACUCCUUUCGACCGCGAGGAAGCCACCUGGUUGGAAGGGUGGUGACGGUAGUGGUAGAAGAAGCACCGGCUAACUACGUG
rnacentral:rRNA from 1 species